rnacentral:tRNA from 1 species
GCCCCCAUCGUCUAGGGGACUAGGACGUGGGCCUUUCAAGCCUAAAACCGGGGUUCGAAUCCCCGUGGGGGCACUA